rnacentral:tRNA from 1 species
CGGGGCGUGGCGCAGCCUGGCAGCGCGCCUGCCUUGGGAGCAGGAGGCCGUAGGUUCGAAUCCUACCGCCCCGACCA